rnacentral:rRNA from 1 species
GGUGGGGGGGGGGGGGGGGGGGGGGGGGGGGGGGGGGGGGGGCGGGGGGGGGGGGGCUUGCGGGGGCGGGGGGCGGGGGGCGGACGGGGGAGGGAGGGAUGGGAAUGUAGUUGUUCGGGGGGGGUAAGGUAGGGAAACUUACGCUAAGGACGCAUACGAACUUCGUUGUCAAGCAUGGGAUCUUCGGACCUGGCCCGAUUGACUGUGCCGAUGUCGGAUUAGCUAGUUGGCGGGGUAAAGGCCCACCAAGGCGACGAUCCGUAGCUGGUCUGAGAGGAUGAUCAGCCACACUGGAACUGAGACACGGUCCAGACUCCUACGGGAGGCAGCAGUGGGGAAUAUUGGACAAUGGGCGCAAGCCUGAUCCAGCCAUACCGCGUGGGUGAAGAAGGCCUUCGGGUUGUAAAGCCCUUUUGUUGGGAAAGAAAAGCAGCAGGUUAAUACCCCGCUGUUCUGACGGUACCCAAAGAAUAAGCACCGGCUAACUUCGUG